GAUGGGAGGGAGGGAAGGAGGGGACUUUCCCCAAACAAGCAGUCCCCUGGUCGAGGCAGCAGAGGGCCUUAGGUCAGGGGAGAUGGUGGGGGUUAUCAUUCAAGUUUACGGGGAAGGGUGGGUAGAGGGUCCUCUCCUCAUCCCUGACUAGGCUCCUGGGCCCCCAGAUCUGAUUACCUUCACGGAAGGAAGCGGACGCUCACCACGCUAUGCCCUCUGGUUCUGUGUGGGGGAAUCAUGGCCCCAGGACCAGCCGUGGACCAAGAGGCUCGUGAUGGUCAAGGUUGUGCCCACGUGCCUCAGGGCCUUGGUAGAAAUGGCCCGGGUAGGGGGUGCCUCCUCCCUGGAGAACACUGUGGACCUGCACAUUUCCAACAGCCACCCACUCUCCCUCACCUCCGACCAGUACAAGGCCUACCUGCAGGACUUGGUGGAGAGCAUGGAUUUCCAGGGCCCUGGGGAGACCUGAGCCCUCGUUUCUCAUGGUGUGCCUCCAACCCCCCUGUUCCCCACCACCUCAACCAAUAAACUGGUUCCUGCUA
rnacentral:sRNA from 1 species